rnacentral:lncRNA from 10 species
AGGGGGCACGCGGCGUCUCUCUGGUUCUCUCCCCCGGUCUCCUUCUGUCUUCGAAACUUGCCUGACCUCCCUCUGGUUGUCUCCUGCCCCGCCCUCUGUCUCUGUCUCCCCAUCUCUGUUGCUGUCUCUGUGUCCCCUGGGACCUUGAAAGUGGGUAUUGGGGCCCCGGGAAGGGACUUUGGCCGGACUCGGGCCCCACCCGAGUGGAUCGUUAACCCAGGAUGUGAGAAGUGGCUGUGUGGAGAGGCCUCACCCCUUCCCUUCCUUUCGACCUCUCUCUGGAUCUCCCUUAUCCCCCUUCAUGGCGAAACAUCCCGAGCACAGACCUGUGUUAAUUCCACCUCCACCCCUUGCUCCCGGUGGGACCUCAGACAAGCCAUCCCCUGCCUUGAGACUCAGUUUGUUCUUCUGGAAAAUGGGACCAAUGGCAACCCCUGCCUGCUGGUGUUGUGGGGGCCACAGCAAGGGAAGAGGGGAGGAAUUCGGUUGGACAGGCUGGGGGCUGUGUUCCCUGCCCAUCCAACCCCACCCCUGGGGACCCUCAGACACAGGAGAGGGGUGUGGAGCACUAUCCCAAUGCACAGAAAGGAAAGCUGAGGUUUGGAGGGGCGAGGCUUAGGGUGGGGACCCUCAGAGGUAGGGUGGGAAGGACACCCAAGCCUGUCCCACUCCUGGCAUCCCAGGGCAGCUGGUGCAGUGGUUCCAACCUAGCAGGACUGUAGAGGGGAGAAGAUGUGAUGGGUCCGGUGGGAGCUUCGAAGGGCUGGGAGAGACGGUGCUGCUGGAAGAGAGGGUGCUGAUGGUUCUCUGAGGUUGGAAGAGGGAUAAAAGGGUCAGAAGGAGGAGGAUCUGAAGAAGGAAGAUAGGUCUGAGAGAGAAGUAGAUGGUUUAGUGGGAGGAGGGGGAGAGGAUCUGAAGGAGGAGGACAGGGUCUGUUGGAGGAGGUAAGGGUCUGAUGGAGGAAAUAAGGGUCUGAGGGUGGAGGCGAGGUUUGGAGGGAGGAGGUGAAGGUCUGAGGGAGGAGACAAGGGUCUGAAGGAGGAGAUAAGAGUCUGAGGAAGGAGGCGAGGGUUUGAGAGAGGAGGUGAGGGUCUGAAGGAGGAGGUGGGGGUCUGAGGGAGGAGGUGAGGGUCUGAGAGGAGGUGAGGCUCUGAAGGAGGAGGUGGGGGUCUGAGGGAGGAGGUGAGGGUCUGAAGGAGGAGAUAAGCAUCUGAGGAAGGAGGUGAGGGUUUGAGAGAAUAGGUGAGGGUUUGAAGGAGGAGGUAAGGGUCUGAGGGAGGAGGAGAGAGUUGGAGGGGAAAGAAGGGUCUGAGGAAAGAAGAUUUGGAGAGAGUCUGAGGGUAGAGGCCAGAUCUGAGGGAGAAGAAAGAGGCUCAGGGGAAAAGAUCUGAGGGUCCGAGGGUGGAAGGCAUGGACUAGGGGAGGAGGAGCUGGUGGGGUGGAGGGGUGGAGAGGCGUGCCUCCGGAGCCAGCAGGGACCAAGGGGAGGGAAGGGAAGGGAGGCUGGGAGGCAGCCCCGCCCUGCAGCUGUCUCUAAUUUCCCAGAAUCUUCUGCUCUCAGGAAAGUCCCAGCUCCCACAGCAGCCUCCCUCCAAUGUCGGGAACGGAGGAUGCGGAACCAGGAUGGCCACCCCCACCCUCCCCCGGCUCCUUGCACCCCAGGCGGAAAGGACUAGGGUCUCCUUUCUCUGGGCCUUGGCCUCUGGAGGGCCCCCACCCGCAGGGGCAGCCCCUGGAUGAGUCUUAGAAACUUCCCAGAGGAGGCCAGGAAGUUCUGCUUGGUGUCUAACCACUUUCCCCUCAUGCAGGCCGCCCUUUGUACCUGUUCAGAUCUCCUCCCCAGCUGCUGUUUCUUUUUCCCCAACCCAUCCUGGGGGAGGAAAGGCCAGGAAUUUACCUGCUCAAAGUCCUGAGAGGGAAACGAAAUUCCAUCUGGAAGUCUGUAGGCUUGAGGCAGCUUUCUUGCUCUCAGGGGCCUCAAUUUCCCUUUCUAAGAGGAGAGAGUAGGGCUGGUCAGGGCCUAAGUUCCCAUCUGGCUCAAUUACUGGGUCUUGUCCUGCUUUUUUUUUGAGACAAGAUCUGGCUCUGUCUCCCAGGCUGAAGUGCAGUGGUGAGAUCAUAGCUCACUGUAGCCUUGAACUCCUGGACUCAAAUGAUCCUCCUGCCUCAACCUCCCAAGUAGGUGGGACUACAGGCAUGUGCCGCAAUGACUGGCUAAUAAAAAAAACAAUUUGUAGACUCAGGGGGUCUCACUGUGUUGCCCAGGGUGUUCUCGAACUCCUGGGCUCAAGCGAACCUCCCUCCUCGGUCUCCCAAAGUGCUGGGAUUACAGGCGUGAGCCACCGCAUCUGGCUU